rnacentral:rRNA from 1 species
UACGUAGGGCGCAAGCGUUGUCCGGAAUUAUUGGGCGUAAAGAGCUCGUAGGCGGUUUGUCGCGUCUGCUGUGAAAACCUAAGGCUCAACCUUGGGCUUGCAGUGGGUACGGGCAGACUAGAGUGAUGUAGGGGAGACUGGAAUUCCUGGUGUAGCGGUGAAAUGCGCAGAUAUCAGGAGGAACACCGAUGGCGAAGGCAGGUCUCUGGGCAUUAACUGACGCUGAGGAGCGAAAGCAUGGGGGAGCGAACAGG